UCGAGAAUCUUUCACAAUGGGGGAAACCCUGAUGGAGCGACGCCGCGUGGAGGAUACGGUCUUCGGAUCUUAAACUCCUGUCAUGCGAGAGCAAGGCGCAAGCUUGAUAGUAUCGCAAGAGGAAGAGGCGGCUAACUCUGUGCCAGCAGCCGCGGUAAUACAGAGGCCUCAAGCGUUGUUCGGAAUCACUGGGCGUAAAGGGUGCGCAGGCGGUGUGAUUAGUCAACUUGUAAAAUUCAUGCGCUCAACGUAUGACUGCAAUUGAUACUGUCACACUAGAGUGCUGAAGAGGGGAUAAGAAUUCACGGUGUAGCAGUGAAAUGCGUAGAUAUCGUGAGGAAUACCAAAGGCGAAAGCAUAUCCCUGGUAAGCUACUGACGCUCAUGCACGAAGGCUAGGGGAGCAAAUG
rnacentral:rRNA from 1 species